CUGGCCAGCAUAGGAUGAGGGGAGUAGACAACCCAAUUUGCAAUCAGACUUACAGAGGUGGUCUGAGCAUGAACAGUACCCGUCCCCACGGGGGAACAAUUACUAUUAGGGGUGCCCAGAACGAGUCCCAUCCUUCAUCAUGCAUUUUGUUCCA